UAAAGCAGCACCGAGACCAGAAGAUGAGCAGCAGCGAGCAUCUACUUUGCUCCAGAAUUGACCCUUUAUUGACUCCACAUCACGUCUCUGAAGUGUAACAGCUUCCGAACCCCUUGACGCGACUGCAAACACUGAUAAGUGUUUCUCACUGACAGUUCCAAACGAUCCACGGUGUCAAACGUUUGGUCAGUGCUGUCAUGUGAGAGGAAGACCUCAGCUUUGAAACGUUACUCGUACAAUAUUCCCUCUGGUUUUGGACCUAAUAGACCUAACAGAAUGCAUGUCUGAUCUAUUUAUAAAUUCCCUAGGAUGUCAUCAGUGUUUUCUUUUCAUAUAACCUAUGAAGUGUUACAACGUCACUUACUAUCAUGUCACCAUAGCACCCGGAUCACCGGAGAUAAUAGCCUAAUCUACAAUUUUACCCAAUGUACAGUAAACCCAUCUAGACCCAUGUAGUU